rnacentral:lncRNA from 1 species
GUGGGAGUGGGAGCAGGGCACCACCUCUGGGAACCCCAUUCUCUUCCUGCGCAGCCAAAGGGGGGCCUUAAGGACAAGGGGGGAGCACUGUGGCUGUGGGCACUGGGUGGGUAGAGGCUUCAUGCCCCACUCCUCUGGAGGAAGAAAAGGGGCAGAUACCCCUGGGAAAAGGUUUUGGGGUCUUGUGAGAGACCUGCGGGAAAGACCUGAGAGUCCCAGAACCCAACAUGCCUCCUUCAAGAAAGGCAAACUGAGGACUUGGGAGCAUGCGGCUCCAUCCUGGGUGUUGAACUUCAGGCAGCUCCGACCCCUGGGGAGGAGCCAUAGUGGAGGCCAGCUCUGCUCCCUGUGCGAGUGUGUGUGCAUGUGUGCAAGUGUGUGCAUGACCCGAUCCCCCUCUGCCUGCAGAUGUGUGGAACCGGGCUGGCUGCCCUGCUUUGUUCCUGGGUCCCCUGUGUCUGCGUCUGUCUCAGAAUUUCAGGAAAGGUGGUGGAGGAGGCUGGGCCAUGUGCCUCUGUGUGUGAGUGUCCUCGGAGGCUGGGGGAGUGGCUGAGCGUACCUGCAGCCCGGAGCAUCUUGUUGCAGGGCCCCUUAGGCUGUCUUGCUGUCUGUCUGGAUUUGAAGGCUAGGGAAGAAGGCUGCAUGAGCAGGCGCUGAUGGCGACCUUGUGUGUGUGUUCCAUGUGGAGUCUGUGCUGAAUGUGUUGACUUUGAGGGUAUUGGUGCACUGUGUGUGUGUGUCUGUGUGUGUGUGUCUGUCUGUCUGUCUGUGCGUGUCCGUUCACCCCUCAGUGGUGGGAUGUGCAUCAACUCAUCAGAUCCCUGUGUGAGUCAAUGCUGGGGUCUGCCCCACCCUCCUGGCCUCCUCUGCAUAUGUGCUGCAGUGUGUGUGUGUGGGUGUGGGUGUGGGUGUGUGUGGUGAGAGAUGACUUCCAGGACCCAGGUACAACUGUAACUGGUCUCCACCCCACCCCCAUGCACCUCCAGUCAGGGGCAGGGCCUGGGGACAGGAGUUCAAAGACAACAGCUUUUGCAGCAGAUGGGGGGCUGUCAGCACAGGAAGGACCUUGGGAGCUGAGAGAUGCAGAAGCAGCCUCUUCCCUGGUCCCAGCCCCUCCCCACAAUCCCCAGCCAGGAACCCUCCCAGGGUCCAGACCGCAGGCUGUCCCUCUUGACUUGCUGUGGAUAGAAUGCUACUCUCCCCAGUCCCCCAAGCCCUGCCACCCCCUCCCCUCCGCCUCAGGGGUUCCAGAAGCCAGGGAGCUCGUUGAUCAGGCUGUCUCCUUGCUCCAUGGAAGGGACUUUAAAACGCUGUCCCCUCCCCCAACACACACAGUUGUUGGGCUCUCCUUGCCUGCCUGUCCCCUCAGCAGCAGUGACGUGAUACCCUGACAGCCCAGAUCCCAUUUCCAAACAUUAAUAACUUCCUUAAUCUCCAGCUGGCUUUUUCCGGAUCAGCCUGGCCACCCCUCCCUGAGAAGCAGGCUGGUGGUGUUGGGCUGCUUUGGAGCUGCCUAAUGUCACCUGGACCCUGCCUGGUUUCCUGUUAACUUGGGUUGUCCCCCUGCCCUCCACAUCAAGUCCUGGCCUGGUUCCUGUCCCCCAUAGCACCUCGGCUCCUGCUGCAGAGCAAUAGUCGAAGCCAGAGGGGAAGGUUCUCGGAGUUGGGGAAGGAGAAGGGGCAGACAGAGGCUCCCAGGAUGUCUGUGGGGGCGCUGCUCGGAAAGGGCUGACCGUGCCCUUCCUGGCCUCGGGGAAGGGGCAGCGGCCCUGCCUUACGAGAGGGUGCUGGCCAGGGCAAGCUCUCCUGCCAAGCCAGAAAGAAGGAAGAGAAGGGCGAGGGGUGGCAUGGGAUGCCCUCAGCAGCCCCACUCUUGACCCACACUGCCUGUGUGCUGGAGAAUAGUGGGGCGGGGCUCCUGCCUGAGGGUCCUGCCAAAGGGGGCCUGAGGUCACUGUGGCACAGCCGCAUAGGAUCUUCCCAGUUGGAACUGGGAAUUGUUUGAGAUUUGGACCUCUGGGUAGUGAUGGGAGGGAUCGGAGUUGGAGCUGUGAGUGGCAGCUUUUGUGAACCCAGGGUGUCCGGCAUCUCUAUAUUUCAACUCUUAAAGUUCUGACUUAGAGGUCGCUGCUGGGGGCCCAGACUCCAGGGUGGGCGGGGCCAUAGAAGGGACACUUCCAGGUGAUGAUUUCUGAGAACU